rnacentral:pre_miRNA from 1 species
CUUAUACUCCCUCCGUCCGAAAAUACUUGUCAUCAAAAUGGAUAAAAAGGGAUGUAUCUAGAACUAAAAUACGUCUAGAUACAUCUCCUUUUAUUCAUUUUGAUGACAAGUAUUUCCGGACGGAGGGAGUACGUA